rnacentral:sRNA from 1 species
ACAUAGCUAGUAGGACCCACGGCAAAUGGAUCAUAAAGUCUUCAAAAAAUAAUAGAUACGAUUGCAUUGCAUGUAGUAACAGAUGCGAUCAUACCAGCAUUAAUGUACCGGAUCCCAUCACAACUCUGCAGUUAAGAGUGCUUGGGCGAUAGUAGUACUAGGAUGGGGGACCUC